rnacentral:lncRNA from 1 species
UUGAUUUUGUAUUUGGAUCUCAAUCGGGUCCCCAGGGCCAAGCACUGCUCCUUUCGGGCCAAUUUCAGCAGAUUCGGGCCCUGCCUCAUGAUGGCGGCGCCGCCGGUCGGCAUCUCGAACACUUGCUCCUUGGGUGAUUCCCACGUGAUGACGUAGAACUCCUCCACCUGCGCCUUCCGGAGGAGCCCGCCGGUGCUGCCGCCGAAUAUCGGCGACGGGGUGCUCGGGUCGAGCUCCGGCGGGGUGAAUCCGGCCGGCGCUUCCGGCUCCUUAGUCGCGGCGGGAGCUUCGUCGGCCAUGGCGCGGAUUGGGCGGUGCGAGACGGCGGAGGCGCCCUUCAUCGGCUUCACGGCGGAGAAUUGUGCCAGGGACUGCUUCCAUGGCGCGGCGGCGCGAUCGCCGGAUUUGGGGCCGGAGAGGGUGGGGGUGAAGAGAGAUGCUUGAGUUGCCAUU